rnacentral:rRNA from 1 species
UAGGGAAUCUUCGGCAAUGGGGGGAACCCUGACCGAGCAACGCCGCGUGAGUGAAGAAGGUUUUCGGAUCGUAAAGCUCUGUUGUUAAGGAAGAACGAGUGUGAGAAUGGAAAGUUCAUGCUGUGACGGUACUUAACCAGAAAGGGACGGCUAACUACGUGCCAGCAGCCGCGGUAAUACGUAGGUCCCGAGCGUUGUCCGGAUUUAUUGGGCGUAAAGCGAGCGCAGGCGGUUAGAAAAGUCUGAAGUGAAAGGCAGUGGCUCAACCAUUGUAGGCUUUGGAAACUGUUUAACUUGAGUGCAGAAGGGGAGAGUGGAAUUCCAUGUGUAGCGGUGAAAUGCGUAGAUAUAUGGAGGAACACCGGUGGCGAAAGCGGCUCUCUGGUCUGUAACUGAAGCUGAGGCUCGAAAGAGUGGGGGGCGAACAGG